AUCACAUUCCAACGCGUGUGAGUAUUCAAUCGAAGAAGUUUGGUGGUUUUCCAGAACUGGCCUCUUAAAGGUCAAAAC
rnacentral:lncRNA from 1 species